UACGUAGGUGGCAAGCGUUGUCCGGAAUCACUGGGCGUAAAGCGUGCGCAGGCGGUUGUGCAAGACAGAUGUGAAAUCCCCGGGCUCAACCUGGGAACUGCAUUUGUGACUGCACGGCUGGAGUGCGGCAGAGGGGGAUGGAAUUCCGCGUGUAGCAGUGAAAUGCGUAGAUAUGCGGAGGAACACCGAUGGCGAAGGCAAUCCCCUGGGCCUGCACUGACGCUCAUGCACGAAAGCGUGGGGAGCAAACAGG
rnacentral:rRNA from 1 species